rnacentral:lncRNA from 1 species
CCACAUGACGUACAGACUCGCCACAAAUACAAAAUUUUUCUGUCCACUCGGACAGAGUCUCCUUUGUAUUUGCACGACGUACCAACAGCUACAUCUGGAUCACAACUAUAAUAUCAUUCACCAAUCCACAAACAAUUCAUGUGAUGCAUUUCCAUACAGCUAGCGAUCCUUAGGGAUGAUGCAUGUCUCUAAACACUUCUUAGGAGCUGGAUAAUGCGAUGCACAGUACAACAGUCAUCCUAUUUAAUAGUGCUCCACACCCGGAAGCUUUGUUUUUAAACUCUAUAUAAUCAUCCAUAAAACCGUUCGAAACCUUUUUAAAACUGUUUCCCAUUCAGAAACUUCAUUUUAAAAACCGACUACCUCGAGGAGUAGAAAACCACAAUGCGUAAAUGCAUAUAUCGAAGAAUCAAUUUUUCAUAA